rnacentral:lncRNA from 1 species
CUCCACACGGCUUCAGCGUUAACGAUAGUAUUGACCCGGAUCAAUUUUCCCUACAGUACAUCAAAUUUGACGAUGUCCUCGCAAUGGUGGCCAAACUUGCCAGGGGUGCUUUGAUGGCAAAGUUUGACGUUCAAAGCGCAUACCGCAAUGUGGCUGUUCUACCCUCCCAACGCUACCUGCUUGGCAUGAAGUGGCGGGGAAAGUUUUAUGUUGACCUGGUAUUACCUUUUGGUUUACGUUCGGCACCGUUCAUUUUUAAUUCGAUAGCGGAUCUCGUAGAUACGGGACCUCUUGCAUUACCUCGACGAUUACAUAACCGCUGGCCCCCCUUGCCGUCCUGAUUGCGCACGGAAUUUAGUCGUCGCGUCCUCGGUGUGCCAAAGUUUAGGCCUACCAUUGCAUCCGGACAAAACCGUGAGUCCAACUACAUGCUUGAUCGUCCUGGGUAUUGAACUUGAUUCUGUGCUACAAAUCGCGCGUCUUCCCGCCACCAAAUUACUAGCUCUCAAGGGUCUUUUCACGGAAUGGAGCGCGAGGAAGUGGUGUACACGCGUACAAUUGGAGUCGCUGAUAGGCAAACUCCAUCAUGCUUGCCUCGUUGUUUGGCCCGGUCGUACGUUUCUCCGUCGGAUGAUUAAUUUGCUGUGCGCGUUUCGGAGCCGUGAUCAUCCAAUCCGACUUAAUGUCGAAUUCCGUUUAGAUCUCCAGUGGUGGAUCGAGUUUCUAGACGAUUGGAACGGGACAAGUUUCAUCCUGCUCCCAGGUCUCAUGCCCGUGGCGGACUUAUGUGUUACAUCCGAUGCUGCUGGCGCUAUCGGUUACGGUGCAUUAUAUCACCAACAAUGGUUCAGCCAUAAAUGGAUGCCCUCUCAAAUGCCAAUGUCGAUUGCCUACAAAGAGUUCUUUCCAGUCGUUAUUGCCGCUCAUCUCUGGGGUGAUCAGUGGGCCCACCGACGGGUUUGCUUCCGUUUGGACAACUCUUCCGUGGUCCACAUUUUAAAUGCGCGUACCUCUCGGGAUCACCACAUUAUGGGUUUAGUACGUUCGCUCCUUAGUGUAGCUGCCCGGUUUAACUUUACUUUCCAAG